CUGGCGGUCGCUCGAGUUGACAAAAGUGUUGGCCGCGUAUCGCCGGAACAGCGAGCUUUUGCCCACGCCGUACUCGCCGCAGAGGAUCACCUUCUGCUCGGGUACCUUGGUCGACGCCAUCCUGCUUCCGGACACCGCUCACGACUUAAGACGCAUGCUGUCCGAACGCAGGAUUCUCGACGCAGUUUGUCUCGGCCUCGAAGAACGAAAAUCGCAGGCAGGCCAGGCAGGGUGUUGCGUUUUCGCCAGACAUAUGACUUGCAAACAAAUGGGAGGGGCGUCGCCAUUGGCCAUCGGAUUUUAGCCCGAAAGCGCGCGAAAGGGAACGAGAGCUUGCGUAUGUAAUUCAUUAUGCAUUAUGCAUGAGCGUACUGAACAUUUACGUUAAGUUUUAGUUUAUUUUAUUGGCAAGCAGAGCAUUGUGAAAAACAUUUUAUCUGUUCCCAUUACUAAUUAUUCAUGGCGAUUGCACAUUCCAUUGUUUGCAAGUCGCGUAUGGGAUACGUUGCUGCUUUUUGUGUUCACACCGAUUUGUAAAUUUUUCUGAUAGGAUUUCGAGAGCUGCAGAAGCUGACGAGGAAUAGAAGUGGCCUUGAUACUUGAUGUCACACAAAAAGUCUAACGGCGGCGGCAAUUAAAAAUAUAUAGGCAGGGCAACCGACGCGAGCAUUAACAUUAAAUGCAUUUCUCAAUACAUUUGAAUUUUAGAGAGAGAAUCCCCAGUUGCCAAAUAAGGCUCACAAUAUCUCAUUGUCAAAUGGCAAUCAUCUAGGUAAUAUAACAAUCACGAUAAAAUGUAGAUAAUGGUGACUGGUUAACCAUUUAGUAAAAAUUACUAUAAUUUAAAUCUCCUAAAGUAAAAGUAUUUAAAAUACUAUAAUAACUAAAUACAUUAUUCCUUGAUUGAUGCGAUUAAAAAUGUUCAAUGAAAAGCUUAUACAACUGAAUUUUCUUAUCAUGCAAAACCUUUGACAUAUUUUUCUUUCUUUAAUUUUACCUCUUUUUACAGAAAAUAAAUUCCUUAAGUUUCUUAGAGUGAAUGCUGAAAACCGCACUGACUUCAGAACUGCCUGCAGAAUGUGAAUAUUUAAAAAAACACACCAAAAACGCCUUCAUACAGGCACUCAUAGAAAAAAGCGGAAAAAAGUAAACGUUUAACAACAUCAUACAUUUUGUAACUUUCAAAUCUUGCUGAGAAGUGAAAUGAACACCACACAGAAAAUGGAGACUGAUGCUGAUGCUAAGGUUGCGAACACCAAGGAGUCGACGGUCAGCGGGGGAAAAGAGUUGCUAUCGUCGGAACUUAACAAGCAAAGUGAUCCUCAGUCUAACGAACGCAUUGAACUUCAAAAGGAGGAGAUAGCUCAAAAAAUUUUAAUCCAACCUAACGGCUCUGCAAGCUGCGGCGUGAAGCUGGAAGAAAAUAACAAGAAUGUUCAAGCUUGCGCUAUUAUGUGAUCUUCUUAAUUUUUAUCAUGGAACAUGGAAAUCUGCAUUCUCCCUUCUUCCUGGCUAAAACUGAAUCUUUGCCUAAUAAUGUACCUUUCAACAGGCUAGUCUUUAUAUUUCCAGCUUAACUUGAUUUAUCUGUAUACAAAACAUACUUCAUAAUAUUAUAAAGUAACUCAAUAAAAUGAAUUUUAAUACAUAUAAAAUAAUUUAUAGAUGUA